rnacentral:rRNA from 1 species
GACGAACGCUGGCGGCGUGCUUAACACAUGCAAGUCGAACGGAAAGGCCCUGCUUUUGUGGGGUGCUCGAGUGGCGUACGGGUGAGUAACACGUGAGUAACCUGCCCUUGACUUUGGGAUAACUUCAGGAAACUGGGGCUAAUACCGGAUAGGAGCUCCUGCUGCAUGGUGGGGGUUGGAAAGUUUCGGCGGUUGGGGAUGGACUCGCGGCUUAUCAGCUUGUUGGUGGGGUAGUGGCUUACCAAGGCUUUGACGGGUAGCCGGCCUGGGAGGGUGACCGGCCACAUUGGGACUGAGAUACGGCCCAGACUCCUACGGGAGGCAGCAGUGGGGAAUAUUGCACAAUGGGCGGAAGCCUGAUGCAGCAACGCCGCGUGCGGGAUGACGGCCUUCGGGUUGUAAACCGCUUUCGCCUGUGACGAAGCGUGAGUGACGGUAAUGGGUAAAGAAGCACCGGCUAACUACGUG